AGAAGAUCACAACCUCUAUCCGCCCGGGAACUACGAGCAUAAGCUUAAAACCCAAAGGACUUGGCGGUGCUUUAGACCCCCCUAGAGGAGCCUGUUCUAGAACCGAUAACCCCCGUUCAACCUCACCUUUUCUUGCUCGUCCCGCCUAUAUACCGCCGUCGUCAGCAUACCCUGUGAAGGAACCAAAGUAGGCAAAAUUGGUAAAACCCAAAACGUCAGGUCGAGGUGUAGCACACGAAAAGGAAAGAAAUGGGCUACAUUUCCUCUAUCAGGAAACACGAAUUGUGCUAUGAAACAACACAUGAAGGAGGAUUUAGCAGUAAGCAGAAAUCAGAGCGUUC
rnacentral:rRNA from 1 species